rnacentral:rRNA from 1 species
AUUGAACGCUGGCGGCAGGCCUAACACAUGCAAGUCGAACGGUAACAGGAAGAAGCUUGCUUCUUUGCUGACGAGUGGCGGACGGGUGAGUCAUGUCUGGGAAACUGCCUGAUGGAGGGGGAUAACUACUGGAAACGGUAGCUAAUACCGCAUAACGUCGCAAGACCAAAGAGGGGGACCUUCGGGCCUCUUGCCAUCGGAUGUGCCCAGAUGGGAUUAGCUAGUAGGUGGGGUAACGGCUCACCUAGGCGACGAUCCCUAGCUGGUCGGAGAGGAUGACCAGCGACACUGGAACUGGGACACGGUCCAGACUCCUACGGGAGGCAGCAGUGGGGAAUAUUGCACAGUGGGCGCAAGCCUGAUGCAGCCAUGCCGCGUGUAUGAAGAAGGCCUUCGGGUUGUAAAGUACUUUCAGCGGGGAGGAAGGGAGUAAAGUUAAUACCUUUGCUCAUUGACGUUACCCGCAGAAGAAGCACCGGCUAACUACGUG